ensembl:lncRNA
GGCUUUUUGCGCAGCUGAGGGGGCGGCCGGUUGUCCGGAGCCGAGCUGAGCACGGAUGGACGAGAAGAGCACCGCUGCAGCAAGAGUUAAAGCCCCGAUGGAGCCAUUUAAAUGCUGUUAGUGCUCUUCUUGCAGCAAAAAAAAAGGAAAAAAGAAAAGAAAAAGGCUGAGGUUUCACUAACCCCAGCCAGCAAGGGCAGCAGAGGGGCACAGAACAACCUGCAGGGCCUCACAGCUGCCCCUGUACAAACGGCAGCGGCUCCACCUGCACCCUCCGUGCUGAGGGAAGCCCUCCAGGCCCAGUCCUGCCAAGGCACAGGGCCGCAAGUUGUGUAUGGGAUAAUCUGCAAGUGCUACCAGAAAAAUAUCACUGAAUAGGAAUAGAUCACACCGAACCUGCGCUGUGAUAGGAAAGCUCUUGGUGCUCCGGCCAAGAGUUGCAAUUGGAAGGUGCUUAAAGAGAAGAAUUGCCGUAGUCAGAGUUUUGAUGGAGAAAAUGCAAGCGAGGCAGUUCAUACUUAGGUAUGACUGCUCGUGGUUUGUACCAAUUGGCCAUUGCUCCCACGGGGAAAUACAAAUAAAACCCAGAACAGUCAAGACUCCAGAGAUGAGGUGUGUAUUCUAAAGCACUGUGACUUAAAUAUCAAGACAGUGCUUGCAGCAAGAGGUCAAACUGGCAAGACGAUGCAUUUGGAUAUUGCGGAGGCUGCUCUGCCCCCACCAAGGGUUUUCCAUCCUUCAAACCAGCCACCCUUACGUAAAUGUGCCAAUAUGAUGAUGUGCAGAGAAGAGGAAUUCCAAGAGAAAUCCAUCAUGGCUCACUACAACGAAUGGCGCUCCAGUUCCUGCCCUGUGCUAUGAGACCAUCCCCUCACCACACAACCAAGCAGUCACGUUCGUCCCAUUGACUGCAUGCUGUAAGGCCACCUGCUCAGCAGCAGCUAAGACAUUUUCUUUCUUUAAAGGUAAAGCCUCAGUCUAAACCCCCUUGGUGUCUCAGCCUAACAUAUGCUGGAUGGCAGAUCGUGUCAGAAGAAGCCUGUAGCCCAUCUGUUGCCAGAGAGCUGAGUCCUUACAUUCUGCCAACGCAGCUUCAGCUGACAGCAUGCUACAUCAUCUAUUUUUCUUUGUACCAAGAGUGGAAGGGCUGCCCAGCUCAGCACGACUCUUUCCCUGACUUAACGCAUGGAGAACCACCCCACGAGCGUGGAUCUGCAAGGAGAGGUUAAGGUAAUUGCCCAUUGGUGUACGCAUGGUCUAAACCAUCUUUUGCAUAAGUAUUCAUUUUGAAUUAGGAAUAUAAUGGAGUUUGAAUACCAAUAAAAAGGUAUCUGAAGGGGUCCUAGAAGUCAGUGGGCAGCUGGCAUGCAGGCACAUACAAACCCCUAAUCUAACCCAAUUUCUGCAAAAUAAUGUUUACCUUUAAACUGCAGAUCAGUCCAGGCUCACUCAUCUUGACAGAGGAAGAGCAGAAUUCGCCCCAUAGUCCACUCUAACACAUUCACAUGGGGAAGAGCGCUCCGCCUUUAGAAUCAUAAAGGGACCUCUGACCACAGCGAGGAGGGGGCUGCGGUGUUACCAUCCUGACUCAUCUAAACGAUUCCAAAGAAAACAGACAUUGUUGAGAGAAGAAUUGCCGUGUCCAGGUAAGCUUCAUUUAUUGCAGGGCGACAGUGUCAGCUCAGAGAAAUUCAUCAGCUGAAUCAGUCAUGACGAAACUGGGAAAAUUCCAAGGCAAGAGAAGGCAUUGAUUGCAUCUUCCUCUGAGCAAAACUCCUCCGAAGCAGCUGUGACUAAGGCACUGAUUCAGUAAAGCCAACAGGCCAUAUUUUAAGCUCAGCUAGAUGAUUUUGCUUGGGUAGAUGACUAACUGGUUUGAACUGGCACGUCAGUGGUUGAGGAACUGGUGAUAUGGGAGCACUCCAUCUGCAGCAGAGACGAGAAAUUGGAAGCGAUCCGUGUCACCACGGAUGUUCCACUGGCACUUAAUCCAGAAGCACGGCAAAUAAAACACCCUCUCAAUGCCUUUCAUAUUACAGAAUUGGAUUUAAAUUGCCCAAUGUGAAGCUAUGCACCAGUCCUAUUUGCUGUUAAGCAGCCGCUCUGCUGCUUGCCAGAGGUGACUGCCUUUCACAAGCUGCCAGAGCUUCUCACUUGCUCUGAAAUGCCACAUGCCAUUAUUUCAUGAGAAACUCACAAGAUCCAACUUCAGCACCUCCAUUUUUACCACCUAUCUCCCUCCUACUCUCCGACCUGCUUCUCGAGCUCAAAAAACACAUUGAUUUUGAUUUUAUUAGUAAGCAACAAAACUGGAACAAAUGGCUCCUGGCAGAACAUGUUUUCUGUUACAGCUGAAAAACUAUCAGACUGAUGCCCUUGAAACGCAUGGUGUGACUAAUGCCCAGCUUGCAAGGACCCAGGGGGACACGUAUUUAUUGCACUUUUCAGAAUGGAGCUGAGCAGCCAGAAAUGAAAAGAUAAGGUGAUAGGUAAAGAUGAAUGCGGUAGCCUGCUUGCUGCUCGAAGGAGGACGGUGCAUAUCGCACAUAGAGAGGGAUGUGAGACACGUUGAAUGAAGUAACCAGCAAAUCUGUGUCUGACUGUUACAUCUCAGGCUCAUAACUGAUUUUGAGUGCACUCAGCAUGCCCUGUAUCUAGAUAGUAAUUCUGGACCCUUAUUCCAAAGGGGAGCUGAGGGGAAAGAGGGUUCAGGCUUCAAAUAGUCUGGAAGUGGGUUGAGAAAAUGGUUGGGUCUUUAUUUAAAGAGAAUAGAACUGGCCUUGGCUUGAUUUUUGUCUCACUCCUUCAAUUAAUGUAUGCACAUUAGCUUACUUCCCAAAUAUGACUGCUUUUAAAGAGAAGUCAAACCCAGAACCCAGCUGCAUCUCAUCUAUGGAGCAUUUGCUUUAUCACAGCUGCCCUGAAACCGGUGCUGAAAGGAGACCAAUUGCCAUAGAGACUAUGCUGUAAAGUAAUUAAGCUCAUGAUAGAGUUGCAUGCACAGCCAAGCAAAAUAUUACAUGCAGACAACAACAGAGCAGUUUCUUAGAAUCUGUAUUUCAGCUCCACUGCAGGUCCCUCCACUCCCACCUACAUCUUUCCUAGCCUUGCUAUCCCUAAACAUACAGAGUUGCAAUAUUCUCAACAUAAAGAGGCAUUAAAUUAAAGCAUUUUUAAAUUUGGUGGCUGAUAAUUUUGUCCUUUUUAAUGCUUUGGAACCUGGGUGUAUAUAUUAGAGGAGAAAGAAUUAGGGGACUGGUUUUGCCUGCACUUGAAUGUUUCUAGAAGUGCUUUGAUCAUGUGUGAGAAUUGAUUUAGGCGAUGCAAAUGAAGGCCCUGGCAAUCUGAAGCAGCAAAUCUUCUCCCCUGACAUUUCCGAACAUUCAGAGAAUUCUCAACGAGCCACUGAAGUAUGGGUUUAUCAGAGAGACAAAAAGAAAAUGGAAUAAGCGAAGAAGCACAUAGAAACGGCCGCUUCCUCAACAAAAGCACCAGCAUUAGCAAUCCUUCCAUCUUGUUCGUUACUUCUUUCCUGUUUAGAAUUACCUUCUCUUGCAAAAUAUGCAUCCAGAAGCAUGAAAGCAACGAAGGAAAGCUGCAAGUCUUUCUGCACUAAGAGAUGGGCUGCAUAUUCUGCAACACGAUUAUAAUGUCUUACAACUCAUUAGCACCUACCAUCCUAGGACCUCCAAGCAUUUUACAAGCGUUAAUUAAUGCAC